rnacentral:sRNA from 1 species
GUCGUGAGAUGUUGGGUUAAGUCCCGCAACGAGCGCAACCCUCGUCCUAUGUUGCCAGCGGGUAAUGCCGGGGACUCGUAGGAGACUGCCGGGGUCAACUCGGAGGAAGGUGGGGAUGACGUCAAGUCAUCAUGCCCCUUACGUCCAGGGCUGCAAACAUGCUACAAUGGCCGGUACAAAGGGCUGCUAUUCCGCGAGGAUGAGCGAAUCCCAAAAAGCCGGUCUCAGUUCGGAUUGGAGUCUGCAACUCGACUCCAUGAAGUCGGAGUCGCUAGUAAUCCCGGAUCAGCAACGCCGGGGUGAAUACGUUCCCGGGCCUUGUACACACCGCCCGUCACACCACGAAAGUCGGCAACACCCGAAGCCAGUGGCCCAACCCGUAAGGGGGGGAGCUGUCGAAGGUGGGGUCGGUGAUUGGGGUGAAGUCGUAACAAGGUAGCCGUACCGGAAGGUGCGGCUGGAUCACCUCCUUUCUAAGGAGUCUCACUGCCUGCCCAUUUUGGGUGGGUGACUCCCAUGUCGAUCACUGGUUAUUGGGCAAUCCUCGAGCACGGUCGGUCGUAGGCCAAUGCCUUUUCAAAGGCGGAGACCUCCUAGCCGUGAACCUGGUGCGCCUGACUGUCUCUGUUCCGUUUUCUGGGAGCGUUCGCGCGCCUGGUCGCCUUGAGAAUUCCAUAGCGAGCACGAGCAUCUUUGUUCUCCAAGCUACAAAGAGCCAACGGUGGGUGCCUUGGCGCCUGAAGCCGAAGAAGGACGUGGGUGGCUGCGUUAAGCCACGGGGAGCUGCCGACCAAGCUUCGAUCCGUGGAUGU